AAAUAACAAUACGGGGCUUAAUGUCUUGUAAUUGGAAUGAUGGGAAUUUAAACCUCUUCCAGAGUAUCAAUUGGAGGGCAAGUCUGGUGCCAGCAGCCGCGGUAAUUCCAGCUCCAAUAGCGUAUAUUAAAAUUGUUGCAGUUAAAAAGCUCGUAGUUGAAUUUCUGCUACAUUGCCUAUUCUCCUUUACGAGUUUGGGUCUUUUGUGGCUUAUCUGGGUUCGCUUGCGUUCCCGGUGUUUUACUUUGAGAAAAUUAGAGUGCUCAAAGCAGGCUUUUGCCUUGAAUAGUUUAGCAUGGAAUAAUAAAGUAGGACUUUGGUUCUAUUUUGUUGGUUUUAGGUACCAAAGUAAUGGUUAAUAGGAACAGUUGGGGGCAUUCGUAUUUA
rnacentral:rRNA from 2 species